rnacentral:lncRNA from 1 species
GUCCGGGAUGCACAGGCCGCCUGCGCGCGGGCCGGGAAGGCGCUUGGAGACAAUGUCCCGUGCUGCGACCCGGGACAGGCAGUGAUGGAGCAGGGACUUAGUUUGCCUUUUAGUUCUUGUAUGAAAAGAAGUUUUGAGGUGAAUGUGAUUCACGCUAACAGUCGGAAACUCUGGGCGGGGCGCGGUAGCUCACACUUGUGAUCCCUGCGCUUUGGGAAGCGGAGGCGGCCGGAGCUCUUGAGCCCAGCAGUGCGGACCAGCCUGGGCAGCGUGGACCAGCCUGGGCAGCGUGGACCAGCUUGGGCAGCGUGGCUAGACCCCAUCCCUACAAAAAUUACAAAAAGUAGUCCGGCGUGGUGGGCUCCUGUGGGCCCAUCUACUCCGUGGGCUGAGGCGGGAGGAUGGCCUGAGCCCGGGAGGUCGAGGCCGCAGGGAGUCGAGAUCACUGCCCUCCAGCCCGGUGGAUAGCGAGACAAUGAAAAAAAAAAAAAAAAAAAAAAAAAAAGCAGGCCGGGUGCGGUGGCUGACGCGUGUAAUCCCAGCACUUUGGGAGGCCGAGGCCGGUGGAUCACCUGAAGUCGGGAGUUCAAGACCAACCUGGCCAAUAUGGAGAAACCCAGUAUCUACUAAAAAUACAAAAUUAGCCGGGCGUGGUGGCGCACGCCUGUAAUCCCAGCUACUUGGGACCCUGAGGCAGGAGAAUUGCUUGAACCCGGGAGGGAGAGGUUGCAGUGAGCCGAGAUCAGGCCAUUGCACUCCAGUCCCGGGCAACAAGAGCAAAACUCCGUCUC